rnacentral:rRNA from 1 species
UACGAAGGGGCAAGCGUUGUUCGGAAUUACUGGGCGUAAAGGGCGCGUAGGCGGCUUACCAAGUCAGGCGUGAAAUUCCCGGGCUCAACCAGGGGCUGCGCUUGAUACUGGUGAGUUUGAAUGCGGGAGAGGAUAGUGGAAUUCCCAGUGUAGAGGUGAAAUUCGUAGAUAUUGGGAAGAACACCGGUGGCGAAGGCGGCUAUCUGGCCCGUAAUUGACGCUGAGGCGCGAAGCGUGGGAGCAAACAGG